GUUAGCACAAACCGGAACCUUGAAAGAGGGGUGCUGAUGCCGGGGGAAAACCCUCCUAGCCAGUGAGCAGGAUAACUAAAGGCCAGACCGAAAUUUUUGCAGUAAAACAAAGGCGCCUAGGGCGCUUUUUGUUUU
rnacentral:sRNA from 21 species